rnacentral:lncRNA from 1 species
UAUGCUAGAUGACUUUCUCAUUCCACGGUGCCAACCUUUAAUAAAUGCUGAAAUCAGUUGGAAUAAACUUGUGUGUUCUUGAACAGAUUUUUUGAAAUCAUUGAUGCUGAUGAUGAUAUAGAUGGCAAGAGCAACGGUUGAUGUCCCUCCAGUUAACACUACUGAAAAGCUGUGAAGGUUAAGACUCUCAUUGUCAUCAGGCGAGGAUUCUUCAUCCAGGCACUUCUCAGAGUUAAUAUAUCGGUCCUCGAGUUCCUUGAGUGUCCCACUUUCGGAUACAUUCAUUAAUGCCUUGUUUGCAUCUGCAAGUUUUGGAGAUCCCCUAGCAAAUGCCUAGGACUUACAAAUCCAUAACCUCCAACUUUGAAUGUCUCUCCUGUUCUAACGAAGCUCUUGCAAUACUGAGCUAG